UCCUACGGGACGCAGCAGUGAGGAAUAUUGGUCAAUGGGCGCGAGCCUGAACCAGCCAAGUCGCGUGAGGGAAGACGGUCCUAUGGAUUGUAAACCUCUUUUGCCGGGGAGCAAGCUGAGUCACGUGUGGCUCAGCUGAGAGUACCCGGAGAAAAAGCAUCGGCUAACUCCGUGCCAGCAGCCGCGGUAAUACGGAGGAUGCGAGCGUUAUCCGGAUUUAUUGGGUUUAAAGGGUGCGUAGGCGGACUGUCAAGUCAGCGGUAAAAUUGAGAGGCUCAACCUCUUCCCGCCGUUGAAACUGGUGG
rnacentral:rRNA from 1 species